AAAAACUAAAAAUAAAAAUAAAGUAAAUAAAAAAAUAUACUAAAAUUUACUGUUCUACCAAUAAAAAGAAAAGUUUAAUAUUCACUUGUUUAAUAUUUUAAUAUAUAUUCUGUGUUGACAUUGAGAAAUGAAGGAUUAAUUGCAUGAUAUACAUUUAGACCUGUUGGAUCAAUUCGCCAAUAAAUCAUCGAAGAAAAACAACAUAAAUAAAUAUAAAGAUCUUAAUGGGCAUCCAUAUAUAUAGGCAAAUGAAAUUCAAUAAGAUGACGAAUAUCAACGAUAACGGCCGUUGGACGGAGGAUGGCUGGCGGCGAUACAGUUUCUCCAGGGCCUCUUAGCACCCGACGAGGUUAGGUUUGGAUACGCGUUCGACGCGGGCGAAUGGCUGGCCUUCACUGAACCACCGACGACGCCGACCUCGAUGUCGGCAUUGGUAAAACGGCGUCGGCGUCGGCGUUGCGAUGCUUCUACCGAUCUCGAUUGCGUGUGAUCGCGUGCUUAAACCGUGUCCAUGUAAUUCUACCUCAAUCUAAAGACUAAGUUCGCUCAGAUACGACGUUGUUUCGGUAAUAUCGUAAACUUAGUUUUGUCGAUUAAUAUACAGUUAACCGUUCUCGUGAUAACGUACUUGACAUGUAAUGUCGCGCAAUUUAAGAGAGGCGAAAUUUUAUAGGUAACAUAUAUUUUCCAACCAAUUCCUAUGGAUUUCGUUCGUACACGUAUUUUAUUUUGAGUAUUUAGGAAGAAAUGGAUUGUAAUAUCGGUACAAUUAAUUAGUAGUAUAAUACAGUCCAACUGAUCUACACUGUAGAUUAAUUGAAUCACAAUAAAUGUUAAUUUUUUUCUUAA